GAUGAACGCUGACAGAAUGCUUAACACAUGCAAGUCAACUGUGGCGGACGGGUGAGUAACGCGUAAAGAACUUGCCUCACAGAUAGGGACAACAUUUGGAAACGAAUGCUAAUACCUGAUACUGUGAGAGAGCUUUGCGUCCCAUUAGCUAGUUGGAGAGGUAACGGCUCACCAAGGCGAGGAUGGGUAGCCGGCCUGAGUGGGUGAUCGGCCACAAGGGGACUGAGACAAGGUCAUUACGCUUACGGGAGGCAGCAGUGGGGAAUAUCGGACAAUGGACCAAAGUCUGAUCCAGCAAUACUGUGUGAACGAUGAAGUUUUCGGAAUGUAAAGUGCUUUCAGUUGGGAAGCAGUACCAACAGAAGAAGUGACGGCUAAAGACGUGCCAGCAGCCGCGGUAAUAC
rnacentral:rRNA from 1 species